CCAAGGAUUCCAUUUCUUUCUGCCAUUCAUCCCCUCUAUCCUGGUACGUUGGCUCUGAUUAUUUCAAGAUGGCUGCAGGGACUGCAGGCCUUCCAUCCACAAUGCAGGAUCCAGAUACCAUUUUUGCUUUAUUCAUCUCUUUUUAGGAACAAACACCCUUUUUUUCAGGUGCUCCUCUCCCCUAGCAUGUUUCCCCUAGUCUCACUUGCCACAGUGACAUCAUGUGUCCAUGCUUGGACCCAAUUCCUGGAGAGGUGUCUGGGAUCACCUUGCUUUUCUUGGCUCUGCCAUGAUUCUCUCUUAGGAACUGGGGUUCAUCUCCCCUGAAGCUGAUGGAAAAUGAGUAUCUGGACAAAAUCUGGGUUCUCUGGAUAGGAAAAGGGGGAAGGGACGGAUAGGUAGGCAACCAAAAGGUAUGUGCUGCAGCAGGACAGAGACAGAACUCUGGGGACCAGCAGUAUGCGAGGGACAGAUAGAAGGAGAGAUUUGCACACCUGCAAGUUGAAGCAAAAACAGGGAACCAUGAAUCUUGAAGGUGUUAUUCUUUCCAGUACAUUUGUUCAAUGUAAUGUUUUGGGAAAUUGCCAAUGGUACCAAUGUCCACUUGGUAAUUGAGAAGGCCAGGUAGUUUCACUGUGGCCCUGUCCUGAAAUCAUUUCACAGCAGAUUGCUCUGCAGCUCAGCCCUGCUGAAGGGGACCAGUGAGAAAAAGGCCUCAUUAGAAAUGACUGUUACCAAGCAACAAGCUAGCAUCUCGUUUAAAAAAUGAUAUUUCUCUCAAUUAGAACUGCAGCAUGCAUUCAUUGUAGGGAAUUAGGAAAUAUAUACAUAAAAGAAACAAAUCUUAUGCCUAACCUUACAGCUGGCUAUUUUCAGCUUUUCUUCCUUUUUUUUUCUUUCACUUUAUGUGGUAUUUCCCCAUGUUCUUAAAAAUUCUUAGUUGACAGAAUUAAUUUUUUUUUUUUAAUAGACAAGGGCUCGCUCUGUCACCUUGUCUGGCAGGAUCAUGGCUCACUUGCAGCCUCAAUUUUGUGGGCUCAAGUGAUCCUCUGGCCUCAGCCUCCUGAGGAAUUGGGACACAGGUGUGCAUCACCAUGCCUGGUUAAUUUUUUUAUUCUUUGUAGGGACAGGGCCUUGCUAUCUUGCCCAGACUUGUUUCAAACUCCUGGCCUCAAAUGAUCCUCCUGCCUUGGGCCCCACACCCC
rnacentral:lncRNA from 10 species